GCCAGACCUGCUGAGUUUUUCCAGGAGUCACUCAAAAUUGAAUUCAAAAUUGAGUGGCAGGGUGACAAUCAUUCUGGCCAUCCCUCACAGGAUAAUCCAUUGUCACAAAGGGCAUCAUCUCCCAGGCUCUCCCCAAUGCAGUUAAACAUCUACCUGUGGUCAUCAGAUUGAAGUGACAUUCAGCUGAAAUGCGAAGGUCAAGACUCACUUUCUAUAUUCACUGAUGAAGACUUGGAUGAAAAACUGGAAAAGCCAAUCAGGAUUGGUGGAACCAGAACAAGUUGUCAUGUUCAGCGUAGCAGCAGAGAAUGGAGAUGGAAAUUUGGGAGGAUAAACAGCUUUCCUUUCAUUGUUCACAACAUAUCUGAACUUCUCUGUAAGACUGCUGACUUGAACUCAUGGGCCUCCCACUAUGCUUUAUUUAAAUAACCCCUCAAUUUAACCUGACCACAAGAAAUGAGUUUCACCCCUAUUCCUUAUCCAAAUGAAUACUUAACUGAGAUAAUAAUAAAUUAUUUAGUAUUAAUCAGUAGGCAGUUACUUAUGUUUUUGAAAUAGUUACAAUACCAAAGAAUAACGGUGAAAAUUUCUAAACUAUCCUACCAGAAAUGAUUAAAACAAUUUUGAGAGUUUUGUGUGAAAACCUCCAGUGAUUUUAAGAAAGCAGUGCUGGACCUCCAGUAAAGUGAAUUAUGUAAAUGAGAAGCUUUGGAGUUAAAACAAUCAGUGGCCUGUAUCCAUAGGUAGUGAGCUAUCCUGUGACAUAUUUAAGUCCCAGCUCAAGAUGGCACACAUGAUGAAAUAGAGCAUGCCAUACUUCACCGGCACUGUUCUGACCUCCAUUUCACAAAAUUAAUAUAGAAGCAUUGUAGAAAGUGCAAAAGAGGGUUUAUUAGGUUAAUGCCAGAACUGAGAGUAUAACGAUCUCUAACCUCCAGCACAUCCAAAUCUCUGUUGCCUCCAUCCUUUCCUGUACCAAGUCUCAAUCAUCUGCUAACUUGCAUUGGUUUUUGACCUGCAACUGUCUCCAAUUUAAAAUUCCCAUAUUUGUGUUUAAAUCCCUUCGUGACCCCCCUGCCCUUCCCUAAUUUUGAAAUAUCCUCCAAUCCUCCAAUCCCCUCCAAACUCUCUGUUCCUCAGAAUCUGGCAUCUUAUGGAUACCUUUCAUUUUGUUCCAUUGUUGGCCACUCUGCCUUCAGACACCUUAGCCCUACUCUCUGGAAUCCCCCAUUUACAUUCCUCAAUUUCUCUGCUUCCCUCUCCUCCUAUCAGAGCCCUCCGUAACAAUCACCCUUUUUUAACCAAACUUUUUGUCACCUCUCUUCAUAUCUCCCUCGUUUCAGAGUGCAAUCAUUUUUUUUCUGUCUCUGCAAAGCACCUUGGGGUGUUCUUCUACACCACAUGUGCAAAAUCUUCUUGUUCGUUUUCCUCUUUUUUAAGUAGUGCUGUGUGGAAAUAUCCACCUAAGUAUGAAGACCGGCCUUUGGUUUAGCAUCCAUCCCAUCUGACAAUGUAACACUCCCUCAGUAUUGCACUGGAGUGUCAGUUUACUGUAAGUGAUUAAACCCUGGACAUGAACCCACAACUGGUUCGCACCCAGAGGGAAGAGGUUAUGAUCAGGUUACACCAUUUAGUUAGAUAUCAAGCGUAUUCUAAUCAUAAGAUCACCAGCUUCUAACUGAAUUAGAAUCUUCUUGAAUUAUUGAGUAUUUAAAUCCUUAUAUUCACAUUGAUAAUGGAAGCAAUCUUUGUAAGCUUGUCACUCUCAUAGUUGCAGCUUCCCAAAGUGUAGCCAUUUGAGUGCCCACUGCGCGCUCCAUAUAUUACAAAAACAACUUGUAUUUGUAUAGUGCCUUAUGACAUAAAACUUCCCAGGGUGUUUCAGAAGAGCUUAAGCAGACAAAAUUUGGCACUGAGUCACAUAAAAUUAUAUUGGGACAAGUGACAAAAAUUCUUGUCCAAGAGCUAGGUUAUAAAGAGUGACUUAAAGGAGAACAGUGAGGUAGAGAGGCAGAGAAGUUUAGAGAGAAAAUUCCAGAGCUUUAGGGUCUAGCCAACCGAAAAUAUGGGCGCCACUGGUGGAGUGAAGGAAAUUGGGGAUGUUCAGGAGGCUGGAAUUGGAAAAGCGCAGAGAUCUCAAACAACUUUAUGAGUUUGCAGAGAUAGAAAGGGACACUUAAGUAUAUUAUUAACUUUGAGGCAAGUAUGAAUGCACCAGUACACAUGGAGCGCAAGAUGGCUUCUAUAGCUUAAGUGUGAACGAAUCCAGUAUGUUGGAUUGCACACCCAGCUGUGAAAUACACUUUCCAGCUGAACUAUCCAACUGUAGCAAAACCACCUUACUGAAAUGAUAUCGAAAGUCCACCUCAGUUCAUUCAUGAACUGUUUCAAUUACACUAUGAAAGAGCAGGCCCUGUGGUCACUUAGCCUUCCCAAUUGCUUGAAAUUACAUGUUAGUUGAAAUUAAAUAAGAAGUUACAACAAUUAAAGAUAUUUAUUUACUGAGCUGGAACUUUGGAAUGUGACCAACUGACAAAAGCUAAUUACAGUUAAAGCUCUUGUAUAUAAAAUAUAUUUGUCAAUAAACAAGUGCAUCCUUGAUUAGCUAGAUACUUCACAAUUCAAAUCUAUUCUUACCCUCAGGAACCUGAUGAGACUGUAUCAUAUAGACUGGGAUUGUUUAAUAACAAUGGCAAGAUCACCAAAAGUAUUAUAUCCCUUGUUUCAUUGAAGGGCACUUCAGAUUUUCAUGAGGAAUAUUGUCUAGUCGUUAUAUUUCAUAGCCAAUCUGACUGUAGGAUAUUAUUACUAUAAAGAUUUCUAGCAAUAUAA